rnacentral:rRNA from 1 species
CUAAUCUGCGAUAAGCGCCGGUAAGGUGAUAUGAACCGUUAUAACCGGCGAUACCCGAAUGGGGAAACCCAGUGUGAUUCGUCACACUAUCAUUAACUGAAUCCAUAGGUUAAUGAGGCGAACCGGGGGAACUGAAACAUCUAAGUACCCCGAGGAAAAGAAAUCAACCGAGAUUCCCCCAGUAGCGGCGAGCGAACGGGGAGGAGCCCAGAGCCUGAAUCAGCAUGUGUGUUAGUGGAAGCGUCUGGAAAGGCGCGCGAUACAGGGUGACAGCCCCGUACACAAAAGCGCAUGUGCUGUGAGCUCGAUGAGUAGGGCGGGACACGUGGUAUCCUGUCUGAAUAUGGGGGGACCAUCCUCCAAGGCUAAAUACUCCUGACUGACCGAUAGUGAACCAGUACCGUGAGGGAAAGGCGAAAAGAACCCCGGCGAGGGGAGUGAAAAAGAACCUGAAACCGUGUACGUACAAGCAGUGGGAGCCCCACCACCAAAGCAUUUGCUGUACCGCGUUGACGGAGCGAAGCGACGUCAAACCGAUAAAACAGCAGUGUAAAGUGAGCCGCAGGGCGCUUUGCGCGACAGCGCAAAGGCAGGCGGUUUCGCGUAGCGAAAGCGAAUGCUUUGGGGUGG